rnacentral:lncRNA from 1 species
CUUCCCACAGAGAGCGGUUUGAUAUGUCACUGAAACCAGCAUCCAGGUGGUAUUGCUCCAUAUGCCUGAGACCCUAACAAAAGCCUAAUUACAACUCAUAUGCCUGGAGCCAGGACAUGUGCAGGAUGCCAUGAUGGUCCAAGUUAUAUUGGGAUUCAGCCAAUAGAAGAUAUUUUGCCUGUCAUCCCUAAGCUUAGGACAAUAGGAACAUUGUGACAUUGCUGGACGUAGCAUCUAGGAAAUGUACUCUCCUCUCCUGCCUAGGCCCUGCCCACUAAAGGAAUUGUGACAUACCACUGAGUGCAAAACCUAGACUCUGCCAAGAGAGGGGAUUAUUACAUAUUGCAGAGCCCAGCACCUAGGUGGAGUGACUCUCAUCUUUUUCUUCUACCCCGUAUAUAGCCAGCUUGGUGACCUACUAUUUGAGUCUAUACCCAGGCCCAGACCACAGAUGAAAUUGUGCAAUAUGUGGAACAAACACCUAAACAAUAUAUAACACCUUCCUUGGCUCUGUCUACAAAGGGCACUUUUAUAUAUCACUGGGACCAUCAACCAGGUGAUGUUAAUUAUCUUCCUGAAACCUGUCUACAAAGAGAGUUGUGUCGUAUACCUAGGCCCGUCAUGUAAGUGAUGUCAGUCCCUUCUACUGCCUUGGCCCUGCACUUACAGUGCAUUGUGACACAUAACAAGGUACUGCACACAGACGAUGUGAUUCUCCUUUUUGGGUUCUGCCAAAAGGAAGCAUUGUAAUAAAUCGCUUGGCUC